rnacentral:rRNA from 1 species
UACAGAGGGGGCAAGCGUUGUUCGGAAUUACUGGGCGUAAAGGGCGCGUAGGCGGCCUGCUAAGUCGAACGUGAAAUCCCCGGGCUCAACCCGGGAACUGCGUCCGAUACUGGCAGGCUUGAAUCCGGGAGAGGGAUGCAGAAUUCCAGGUGUAGCGGUGAAAUGCGUAGAUAUCUGGAGGAAUACCGGUGGCGAAGGCGGCAUCCUGGACCGGCAUUGACGCUGAGGAGCGAAAGCCAGGGGAGCAAACGGG